rnacentral:rRNA from 1 species
GAUGAACGCUGGCGGCAUGCCUUACACAUGCAAGUCGAACGGUAACGCGGGGCAACCUGGCGACGAGUGGCGAACGGGUGAGUAAUACAUCGGAACGUGCCCAGUAGUGGGGGAUAACCCGGCGAAAGCCGGACUAAUACCGCAUACGACCUACGGGUGAAAGGGGGGAUCGCAAGACCUCUCGCUAUUGGAGCGGCCGAUGGCAGAUUAGGUUGUUGGUGGGGUAAAAGCCUACCAAGCCGACGAUCUGUAGCUGGUCUGAGAGGACGACCAGCCACACUGGGACUGAGACACGGCCCAGACUCCUACGGGUGGCCAGCCUGAGACGCCAAGGCACACAGGGGAUAGG